GGAAGAGAUGAACGCCAUGCUGGCCCGGAGAAGGAAAGCCACGCAGGUUGGGGAGAAAACCCCCAAGGAUGAAUCUGCCAAUCAGGAGGAGCCAGAGGCCAGAGUCCCGGCUCAGAGUGGUGAGUGAGUGCCCAGUCCAGCCACAGGAACUACAAAUCCCAGAAUGCCCUGUUCUCACAUGUUAAGCACCCUUACAGGAGAGUCAGGGCGAAUGGUGCUGGGGAUUGUAGUCUCCUGAGAUGGGGCUUUGACCAGGGGCUGAUGAGGUUGGGGGAGUAAGAUUGAUUGGGGGGCAGUCUUUUGUCCCUGAUCUUUCUGAUUUCUUGCCUAUCCCCAGAAUCUGUGCGGAGACCCUGGGAGAAGAACAGCACAACCUUGCCAAGGUAGGCCAUUGGUCCUGGGGCCCUUGGGGAGGUCAAGGCGGGCAGAUCGCUUGAGCCCAGGAGGUCAGGACCAGCCUGGGCAACAUGGCGACACCCCAUCUCUACAAAAAUUAGCCAGGCAUGGUGGCACUUACCUGUGGUCCCAGCUACUCGGGAGGCUGAGGUGGGAGGAUUACUUGAGCCCAGGAAGUCGAGGCCUCAGCGAGCCAUCAUCGUGCCUGCACUCCAGCCUGGGAAACAGAAUGUGACUGUCUCAAAACAAAACAAAACA
rnacentral:sRNA from 1 species